UGUAGUCAUUCCCUUUUGUUAUACAUGUAUCAACUUUAUUUUGUUGAUUUAGGUAUGUAAAGUGAAAACAAUCAUGUAAUUGGUGGAUGACUAAAUGUAAAAAGAUAUGAUGGUUGAAUGGAAUGUAAUAUUAUUACUUACUUGAAUUUGGUUCAAAAGAAAUCAAAUAUCACGUGUGUUGUAUAUUUAGCUUAGAGCUUUCGCUUCCGUUGUUGCUUGCCCUCG
rnacentral:lncRNA from 1 species